rnacentral:tRNA from 1 species
CCGGGCGGUCGGCCGCAAGACGGUCGCGGUGUUGGCGUCGCCGCGCGGCAACUCCUGGUUCGUGGCCGGGUGUUCGGC